UUUAUUCUGUUCUCUACUCCAGCUCGUGACAGCCGUGUUGUAUAUGGUGCCCCCUUCUCGGGAUACCAAUCUCCAACAUGUGAGACUAGUAAUGCAAGGCGCUUUUGUCCGGUCAGUAACAUCGCGCCUAUGGUCCACAGAGAAGAAAUGCGGAAGUCGCACCACAGGUUGCAGCCCAGGGCACUGGACCAGCAUAGCUACAGCACUUCCACUGCUCGUGGUACUACAUUGCAGACAGCUGGCCAUGCUGCAACAGUAUGGGGGAACGAACACCAAGGAUGCUACACUGAGACUCCUGCGUGCACUAAUGACUGAUGAUGUAGCCACUC